rnacentral:piRNA from 1 species
UGCCUCAGCGUGGCCACAUCAGCCGAAGCUC